AAACAACAACAAAGGGAGGAAGAAAAACAACAAAGAAAGAGAAAGAAGAACUCAAAAAACUCUCUCUGUUGUUGGUUUCUGUUUCUGUUUCUGUUUCUCUUUCUCUUUUCCCUGUCUCUUUCCCUUUCUUUCUGU
rnacentral:ribozyme from 13 species